rnacentral:rRNA from 1 species
AAGAGGCGGGAAUAAACUAAUAAGACGAGAAGACCCUAUGGAGCUUAAAUUUUAUAGUCUAGCACAAAAACAAUUAUUCCCAUGGGAUUACAAACUUAUUGCCUACAGACUAGAAAUUUUGGUUGGGGUGACCUCGGAGUACAAAACAACCUCCGAAUGAUUCUAAUCUAGACUAGACCCGUCUAAAUUAACACUCAUAAAUUGACCCAAAAUCUUGAUCAACGGAACAAGUUACCCUAGGGAUAACAGCGCAAUCCUACUCAAGAGUCCAUAUCGACAGUUAGGGUUUACGACCUCGAUGUUGGAUCAGGACAUC